AGGGUUCGAUUCUGGCUCAGGAUGAACGCUAGCGACAGGCUUAACACAUGCAAGUCGAGGGGCAGCACAGGUAGCAAUACCGGGUGGCGACCGGCGCACGGGUGAGUAACGCGUAUGCAACUUGCCUAUCAGAGGGGGAUAACCCGGCGAAAGUCGGACUAAUACCGCAUGAAGCAGGGGCCCCGCAUGGGGAUAUUUGCUAAAGAUUCAUCGCUGAUAGAUAGGCAUGCGUUCCAUUAGGCAGUUGGCGGGGUAACGGCCCACCAAACCGACGAUGGAUAGGGGUUCUGAGAGGAAGGUCCCCCACAUUGGUACUGAGACACGGACCAA
rnacentral:rRNA from 1 species